UGAGGAAUCUUGCGCAAUGGGGGAAACCCUGACGCAGCAACGCCGCGUGAGUGAGGAAGGUCUUCGGAUCGUAAAGCUCUGUCAGUUGGAAAGAAAUGUCUGAGAGUCAAUACCUUUCAGGCUUGACGGUACCAACAGAGGAAGUACCGGCUAACUCCGUGCCAGCAGCCGCGGUAAUACGGGGGGUGCAAGCGUUGUUCGGAAUUAUUGGGCGUAAAGAGCGUGUAGGCGGCCGGAUAAGUCAGAUGUGAAAGCCC
rnacentral:rRNA from 1 species